CAGUAGCCGCGGUAAUACGAAGGGUGCAAGCGUUACUCGGAAUUACUGGGCGUAAGGCGUGCGUAGGUGGCGGUUUAAGUCCGUUGUGAAAGCCCUGGGCUCAACCUGGGAAUUGCAGUGGAUACUGGAUCACUAGAGUGUGGUAGAGGAUAGUGGAAUUUCCGGUGUAGCAGUGAAAUGCGUAGAGAUCGGAAGGAACAUCUGUGGCGAAGGCGACUAUCUGGGCCAACACUGACACUGAGGCACGAAAGCGUGGGGAGCAAACAGGAUUAGAUACCCCGGUAGUCCCUGUCUCUUAUAC
rnacentral:rRNA from 1 species